AUACGGAGGGUGCAAGCGUUACUCGGAAUCACUGGGCGUAAAGCGCGCGCAGGCGGGCUGAUAAGUUGGAUGUGAAAGCCUACGGCUCAACCGUAGAACUGCAUCCAAAACUGUCAGUCUAGAGUGUGGGAGAGGAAGAUGGAAUUAGUUGUGUAGGGGUAAAAUCCGUAGAGAUAACUAGGAAUACCAAAAGCGAAGGCAAUCUUCUGGAACACUACUGACGCUGAGGUGCGAAAGCGUGGGGAGCAAACAGGAUUAGAAACCCGAGUAGUCC
rnacentral:rRNA from 1 species